rnacentral:sRNA from 8 species
AUGUACCACUCACACUGAGGUUCUGAUUGCGCCGUCCAUGCCCACCUGACGAUCGCUCGCUACGUUUUGUUAGCG